rnacentral:misc_RNA from 1 species
GCAAACUUGGUCAUUUAGAGGAAGUAAAAGUCGUAACAAGGUCUCCGUUGGUGAACCAGCGGAGGGAUCAUUACCGAGUUCAGAAACUCCCCAACCCCUGUGAACCCGUACCCGAGCGUUGCUUCGGCGGGACCGCCCCGGCGCCCCGGAGGCGCCCCCCCGUCCCGGGGGGGCCCUCCCGUGCCCGGAACCAGGCGCCCGCCGGGGGCCCCAAACUCCUGCUUCUGCCCCGGCGGAAUCCCGUCUGAGUGCCGUGGGAUGCGAACAAUCAAAACUUUCAACAACGGAUCUCUUGGCUCUGGCAUCGAUGAAGAACGCAGC